UCUCCACACUGCAGCCACAUCCUGACCCAGGUCCCAGAGCCCUGCACAUCCCAUCGCACUGAGACAAGUGAGGGGGCCUCAGCCCGCCUGCCUUGGGCACUGCGGAGGUGCCCAGGCCAGGAGCAGGGACAGGAGGCAGACAGAAGCUGGGGCUCGGGGAUCUCGGGACAGGGCCCCGAGCGGCUGGCAGGAGUCGCGGGAAAGGCCGCUGACAGGCUCAGGAAGGGUGCACAGAGAAGCCGGAUGUUAGGAUAAAAAUGCAAGUCCCGGAUGGAUGAAGACAGGGAAACUGAGGCCUGGAGAACGCCAGGGAGCUGCCCGAAUGUCACAGUGCCUUGGGGAGGAAAGGAACUAGACCUCUGGCCUGGAAUUCUUCCUAGAAGAAUUUCUCCAGCCACAGCACAGAGGUGGAGCAGGUGCGGGAUGCCUGGGACUGAUGAACCUCGGCCACCCGCCGUAAUAAGGACAAGAAGCGGCGAUAACUUCAGUGCUGUUCCAGGGACAAAAAGAGUGACUCCAACUCUAGAAGCCAAGGCACUAAGAGGUCCAGCCACCAGCCCAAUUCUAGGAGGCCCCAGGCCCGAGUCAAGAGGAUACCUGAGGCGCACUGGUGAGAAACCACGUGCGGGCCUGAGCCUGACGUCAGCUUCACAGUGGCCCUUGCAAGCUCCACAAAGCCCCUAGAAGGUGGCUGAGC